rnacentral:rRNA from 1 species
AUUGAACGCUGGCGGAAUGCUUUACACAUGCAAGUCGAACGGUAGAGGGGGCAACCCCUCGAGAGUGGCGAACGGGUGAGUAAUAUAUCGGAACGUGCCCAGUCGUGGGGGAUAACGUAGCGAAAGUUACGCUAAUACCGCAUACGAUCUAAGGAUGAAAGCGGGGGAUCGCAAGACCUCGCGCGAUUGGAGCGGCCGAUAUCAGAUUAGGUAGUUGGUGGGGUAAAGGAUCACCAAGCCAACGAUCUGUAGCUGGUCUGAGAGGACGACCAGCCACACUGGAACAGAGACACGGUCCAGACGCCUACGGGAGGCAGAAGUGGGGAAUUUUGGACAAUGGACGCAAGUCUGAUCCAGCCAUUCCGCGUGCAGGAUGAAGGCCCUCGGGUUGUAAACUGCUUUUGUACGGAACGGAAAGGUCUCUCUUAAUACGGGGGGCUCAUGACGGUACCGUAAGAAUAAGCACCGGCUAACUACGUGCCAGCCGCCGCCGUAA